AUGUAAGAAACUACAGGCUUAGUCACGUGAGCUUUGAUAUAAGCCGCCGCUUCUUCUUCAGCAGUACCACCGAUUUCACCGAUCAUCACGAUGGCUUCAGUCUGUGGAUCG
rnacentral:rRNA from 1 species